rnacentral:rRNA from 1 species
GUCGGAAUCGCUAGUAAUCGCGGAUCAGAACGCCGCGGUGAAUACGUUCCCGGGCCUUGUACACACCGCCCGUCACACCAUGGAAGUCUGCAAUGCCCAAAGCCGGUGGCCUAACCUUCGGGAAGGAGCCGUCUAAGGCAGGGCAGAUGACUAGGGUGAAGUCGUAACAAGGUAGCCGUAGGAGAACCUGCGGCUGGAUCACCUCCUUU